rnacentral:lncRNA from 12 species
CAUGAUUGUUGUGUAAAUAAGAUGAGGAAGCUAUUUUUGGCUUCUGCCUGCUUGUCCUCAGAAGGAGUCAUAAGAUGUGUACACCAAGAUGGUGACUGAGUGCAGCUGGAGCCCCUGGUUAACUAUGAGUGUACUGCUUACCUUGAGAAAGCACAAAUGCAGACGCCUGUUUUCUAGCAAUGAAGGAAGUACCUAACUGCAGUAGAAGAGCUGCUAUAGAGAGGGUGCAGG